AAUAAAUUCUAACGGAAAUUGCGCACACGACUUCUGAACCUCCACCGCUGCCCUCCCAUUCGGGUGAGGAACCACCGCACUGAUGGAGGAUGCGUAUUUCCCCGUCGCGUCCUGCAGGAUCUGUGCUCAGAUUCCCCUCCGCGCGCCGCCGAGAUCCGCGGUAGAGAGAACCGGGGUCGCCGCCUCAGCCUUCCAUCCGUCCGUCGCGCACGCCCGUCCCUCCGUACAUUGAGGACACUGGCCCCACGAUCCACCGAUUCAGCGCACAGGAUGUUGAUGAUAUUGACCGCCGAUUCGUUGGCCGCCGGACUCAUCGCGUCUCUCGCGGCAGAGGCACACAGGUAGCCAUGACUUUCCACUGCAGUUACUUAUCACAUAGGAGUAAGAAUUUUUUUAUUCUUAUACUGUUAUCCAAGUACAUCAACAAUCCUUCAUUUGGUUCAGUCUUGAAAGAGCAGCACGUUUUACCACUGCCGCUUUUAGCUCUAUCUUCUAGCGAACCUCCAUGGCAACCUGCCGGCUCACCUACGGAAAAAUGGUGCAAGCAUUUUCUUGCAUCUGGAGGUCUUACUAAGUUGCGGCAUUUAAUUCUCAAUCCAGGUAUCGCAAUCUGUCAUGAUGCCAUUAAGGCAUUAACUGUGAACUCCAUCCCUGCAGGAUAUGUUGCAUGAGGUUGUAGGUCUCGAUAUCUUAUCUUGGAUAAGAUGUCUGGAUCUUUGUACUCUUGCUGUGCUGACAAUCUCCAGCGGUCCAACUCAAGGAAUUGGCACGAUAAAACUUUGACUACCAGACUUUUUGUAACUGAUCCAAGAUUGAUGAUGGCAUAUUACUUGUAUAAUUUUCCUUGAUGUUUAUUGGAUUGAUGAAUUAUGUUAUUGCAACUUUUUCUGAACCAUGUCCACUAUUCAAUUCUUCACACACAGCUUCUUAGGGUAUCACUGUAGUCUUGAACCAUGACAUUUUAUAUUUAUCGCAUCUGUUUUGACUAGCUUACAGAGAGUGGUAUUUAGCCAUAGGACUGUAAACAAGUAGUUGUUUCAUUCGUUGUAGACUUAAGAGCAAUAAAAUGUUGUUUCUUUUGGAAAUUUGAAAUAAAUGAAAAUACAUAUUCUUCGGAAUGGAUGGUUCAGUUCAACAAUUAUUUUCAUUAGGUUCCUGUGAAAGCUACUACAUACUAAAGUACCAUCGAUCUAUGACAGGUUCAGCUGCACACUUUUACUGACUGUUGUGCUUUGGUGUUUUCAUUGAACCAGAUUGCAGUUACAUAAAUCAAGCUUGUUGCUGGAAAGCCAACUCGUAAAGUCUCCUGAACCCGGCAAGUCAAAGUCAAAUGCUCAAUGGAAUGACUAAUUAGCGUUGAAACACCGUUUCAAUCUCAAGCCCAUCUAGAAUUUUGCGUUGAGAUCCUGGUGUACACGUUGGGCUAGGAGGUUCAAGUUUGAAAACCAACACCAAUGUUAUCAUCCGAAGCUAUCUUUUAUUACCAAGUUCGAUCCAAUACAGGAAUAGAUGCUAUCACAUUUCACAAGAAGGACGUUCCAUAUGGGAUUGGUGUGUUUUACCACGAACUCAACAAGGAGGGGAUGCUUCCUGAUCUAUUUGUUGUGCUCUGCUGUGAUCCCGGCCUCUGUCUUUCAGAACCUUUGCCCGCAACUAGAGAGAAGCUUGCACAUUGCCAGGUGAGCCACUACUACCAGGAAAUGUAAGGAUACUAUAUCUUCUUGGUUUCGGCGUUCCUUUCCCUCACAUUUCAGCACUUCUUUUGUUAAUAAUAUGGGGAUGAGAGCAAAUAAGGAGGCCUCGAUUCAAAGAAAUCAAACGCUCUUUGGCUUCCUAUUAUUUGGUGCUUUGCAAUGCAUGAUGCCUUCGCUUUCUUUGGAAGCCUGCUGCAUGGUAGACUUCAACAGAAAUGGUUCGCCAUACGGGAAGGUUGUAAUACGCCUUGAUUGGCCUCUCCCUGCAGACACAAGCCAAGCCAGUUGUUGUUGUGCCAUCGACUGUUACUGCCGUGCCACAAGAUUGCAAAACUGGUCGAGCAGGAUUUCCCAUCACUUCAUACUUCAGUGAUGACAGACUACAUGAAGGAAAUCUUGUGUGCGCAACUGGAGUAUACUUUUUUUUUUU